rnacentral:misc_RNA from 1 species
GAUGAAGAACGUAGCGAACUGCGAUAAGUAAUGUGAAUUGCAGAAUUCAGUGAAUCAUCGAGUCUUUGAACGCACAUUGCGCCCCCUGGCAUUCCGGGGAGCAUGCCUGUCCGAGCGUCAUUGCUGCCCUUCAAGCCCGGCUUGUGUGUUGGGUCGUCGUCCCCCCCGGGGGACGGGCCCGAAAGGCAGCGGCGGCACCGCGUCCGGUCCUCGAGCGUAUGGGGCUUUGUCACCCGCUCGAUUAGGGCCGGCCGGGCGCCAGCCGGCGUCUCCAACCUUCUAUUUUACCAGGUUGACCUCGGAUCAGGUAGGGAUACCCGCUGAACUUAAGCAUAUCAAUAAGCGGAGGA